GGUCAAGUGAAGAAGCGCAUACGGUGGAUGCCUUGGCAGUCAGAGGCGAUGAAAGACGUGGUAGCCUGCGAAAAGCUUCGGGGAGUCGGCAAACAGACUUUGAUCCGGAGAUGUCUGAAUGGGGGAACCCAGCCAUCAUAAGAUGGUUAUCUUGUACUGAAUACAUAGGUGCAAGAGGCGAACCAGGGGAACUGAAACAUCUAAGUACCCUGAGGAAAAGAAAUCAACCGAGAUUCCCUUAGUAGUGGCGAGCGAACGGGGACUAGCCCUUAAGUGGCUUUGAGAUUAGCGGAACGUUCUGGAAAGUACGGCCAUAGUGGGUGAUAGCCCUGUACGCGAAAAUCUCUUAGUCAUGAAAUCGAGUAGGACGGAGCACGAGAAACUUUGUCUGAAUAUGGGGGGACCAUCCUCCAAGGCUAAAUACUACUGACUGACCGAUAGUGAACUAGUACCGUGAGGGAAAGGCGAAAAGAACCCCGGAGAGGGGAGUGAAAUAGAUCCUGAAACCGUAUGCGUACAAGCAGUGGGAGCC
rnacentral:rRNA from 1 species